GACGUAGGAGGCGAGCGUUGUCCGGAUUCAUUGGGCGUAAAGAGCGCGCAGGCGGCUUGGUAAGUCGGAUGUGAAAUCCCGAGGCUCAACCUCGGGUCUGCAUCCGAUACUGCCCGGCUAGAGGUAGGUAGGGAGAUCGGAAUUCCCAGUGUAGCGGUGAAAUGCGUAGAUAUUGGGAGGAACACCAGAUGCGAAGGCGGGUCACUGGGCUGAUACUGACGCUGAUGACGCGAAAGCCAGGGGAGCGAACGGG
rnacentral:rRNA from 1 species